rnacentral:rRNA from 1 species
AUUGAACGCUGGCGGCAGGCUUAACACAUGCAAGUCGAGCGGAGUGAUGGUGCUUGCACUAUCACUUAGUGGCGGACGGGUGAGUAAUGCUUAGGAAUCUGCCUAUUAGUGGGGGACAACAUCUCGAAAGGGAUGCUAAUACCGCAUACGUCCUACGGGAGAAAGCAGGGGAUCACUUGUGACCUUGCGCUAAUAGAUGAGCCUAAGUCGGAUUAGCUAGUUGGUGGGGUAAAGGCCUACCAAGGCGACGAUCUGUAGCGGGUCUGAGAGGAUGAUCCGCCACACUGGGACUGGGACACGGCCCAGACUCCUACGGGAGGCAGCAGUGGGGAAUAUUGGACAAUGGGGGGAACCCUGAUCCAGCCAUGCCGCGUGUGUGAAGAAGGCCUUAUGGUUGUAAAGCACUUUAAGCGAGGAGGAGGCUCUUUUGGUUAAUACCCAAGAUGAGUGGACGUUACUCGCAGAAUAAGCACCGGCUAACUCUGUGCCAGCAGCCGCGGUAA